rnacentral:rRNA from 1 species
UCGCCCGUCACACCAUGGGAGUUUGUUGCACCAGAAGCAGGUAGCUUAACCUUACGGGAGGGCGCUUGCCACGGUGUGGCCGAAUGACUGGGGUG